CGCAAAAUAGAUCAGUCUGUAGAGCAUGAGAUUCUUAAUCUCAGGGUUAUGGGUUUGAGCUCCAUGUUGAGUGA